GAUGAACGCUGGCGGCGUGCCUAAUACAUGCAAGUCGAGCGAACAGACGAGGAGCUUGCUCCUCUGACGUUAGCGGCGGACGGGUGAGUAACACGUGGAUAACCUACCUAUAAGACUGGGAUAACUUCGGGAAACCGGAGCUAAUACCGGAUAAUAUAUUGAACCGCAUGGUUCAAUAGUGAAAGACGGUUUUGCUGUCACUUAUAGAUGGACCCGCGCCGCAUUAGCUAGUUGGUAAGGUAACGGCUUACCAAGGCAACGAUGCGUAGCCGACCUGAGAGAGUGAUCGCCAACACGGAACUUGAGACACGUCCCAGCCCCCUAGGGAAGCCAGAAUGAGGAAAUUUGCAGAAAUGGGCGAAACCCUGACCAAGCAAAGCGGCGGGGGUGAUGAAGGUUUUCGGAUCGUAAAACCCUGUUAUUAGGGAAAAAAAAAUGUGGAAGUAACUAUGCACGUCUGAACGGAACCAAAGAAGAAAGCCCGGCCUAACUCCUU
rnacentral:rRNA from 1 species